rnacentral:rRNA from 1 species
UACAGAGGUGGCAAGCGUUGUUCGGAAUUACUGGGCGUAAAGGGCGCGUAGGCGGCCUGCUAAGUCGAACGUGAAAUCCCCGGGCUCAACCCGGGAACUGCGUCCGAUACUGGCAGGCUUGAAUUCGGGAGAGGGAUGCGGAAUUCCAGGUGUAGCGGUGAAAUGCGUAGAUAUCUGGAGGAACACCGGUGGCGAAGGCGGCAUCCUGGACCGAAAUUGACGCUGAGGCGCGAAAGCUAGGGGAGCAAACGGG